rnacentral:rRNA from 7 species
AAUCCAUAGGUUAAUGAGGCGAACCGGGGGAACUGAAACAUCUAAGUACCCCGAGGAAAAGAAAUCAACCGAGAUUCCCCCAGUAGCGGCGAGCGAACGGGGAGGAGCCCAGAGCCUGAAUCAGCAUGUGUGUUAGUGGAAGCGUCUGGAAAGGCGCGCGAUACAGGGUGACAGCCCCGUACACAAAAGCGCAUGUGCUGUGAGCUCGAUGAGUAGGGCGGGACACGUGGUAUCCUGUCUGAAUAUGGGGGGACCAUCCUCCAAGGCUAAAUACUCCUGACUGACCGAUAGUGAACCAGUACCGUGAGGGAAAGGCGAAAAGAACCCCGGCGAGGGGAGUGAAAAAGAACCUGAAACCGUGUACGUACAAGCAGUGGGAGCACAGGUUUACCUGUGUGACUGCGUACCUUUUGUAUAAUGGGUCAGCG